CUAUUUGUUUUAAUAGUUUAGUAUGAUUUAAGUCCUAAUUUUGUGUGUUGGUUAUUUAAGUGGUACUGCUUCGAUUCUGCUGUGAUGCGUGUAUGCUUGAGAGUCUUUGAUUGCAUUUUUUUUUCAUAUUUCACAAGUUUAUUUCCAUGACUAAGCCUCACACGUUUUCUUUUAUGUUUAACUUGCUUCUAGGGACGUGUUUGCUGCUCUGAUUUGGUUGGAAUCCUUGUUCUGCAGGAUGUUAAUUCCAGAAGUUCUUGUUUUUCUGUUCAAUGUUUUGCCUGUGAUGUCACAUAAAGACAGAUUAGAUACUUAUUUCUGAUGGGAUCUUGUUUUUUUUUUUUUUUCUAUAGGUUUCUUUCCUGCUAUGGAAUAACUAAAGAAAGAUAUGCAAUAUACUCGCCUCCGGUCAAUACUAAAAUUAAGACUAUUAGUACACAAAAGCUAGCAUUAUCUUCCAUUGCUCCAGAUGUAGCUGCUCUCAUGCCUUUACAUUCCGUUACUCCAUAUCCAGAAAUUGGAAACACACUACCAUUACUUCUGAUUAAACUUUAUUCUUCCUGAA